UACGGAGGGUGCAAGCGUUAUCCGGAUUCACUGGGUUUAAAGGGAGCGUAGGUGGGCUGGUAAGUCAGAGGUGAAAUCUCCGGGCUUAACUCGGAAACUGCCGUUGAUACUAUCAGUCUUGAAUAUUGUGGAGGUAAGCGGAAUAUGUCAUGUAGCGGUGAAAUGCUUAGAUAUGACAUAGAACACCGAUAGCGAAGGCAGCUUGCUACACAAUUAUUGACACUGAGGCUCGAAAGCGUGGGGAUCAAACAGG
rnacentral:rRNA from 1 species